rnacentral:rRNA from 1 species
CAGUCGCCGCGGGAAUACGAAGGGGGCUAGCGUUGUUCGGAAUUACUGGGCGUAAAGCGCACGUAGGCGGACUUUUAAGUCAGGGGUGGAAUCCCGGGGCUCAACCUUGGAACUGCCUUUGAUACUGGAAGUCUUGAGUAUGGAAGAGGUCAGUGGAAUUGCGAGUGUAGAGGUGAAAUUCGUAGAUAUUCGCAGGAACACCAGUGGCGAAGGCGGCUGACUGGUCCAUUACUGACGCUGAGGUGCGAAAGCGUGGGGAGCAAACAGGAUUAGAUACCCGAGUAGUCCCUGUCUCUUAUAC